rnacentral:rRNA from 1 species
GUCGUCGACGUACGUCGUACGAGAGUUAGUAGUACGACUGGCUACAGGACGAACGCUGGCGGCGUGCUUAACACAUGCAAGUCGAACGAUGAAGCCCAGCUUGCUGGGUGGAUUAGUGGCGAACGGGUGAGUAACACGUGAGUAACCUGCCCUUGACUCUGGGAUAAGCGUUGGAAACGACGUCUAAUACCGGAUACGAGCUUCCACCGCAUGGUGAGUUGCUGGAAAGAAUUUUGGUCAAGGAUGGACUCGCGGCCUAUCAGCUUGUUGGUGAGGUAACGGCUCACCAAGGCGACGACGGGUAGCCGGCCUGAGAGGGUGACCGGCCACACUGGGACUGAGACACGGCCCAGACUCCUACGGGAGGCAGCAGUGGGGAAUAUUGCACAAUGGGCGAAAGCCUGAAUGCAGCAACGCCGCGUGAGGGACGACGGCCUUCGGGUUGUAAACCUCUUUUAGCAGGGAAGAAGCGAAAGUGACGGUACCUGCAGAAAAAGCACCGGCUAACUACGUGCCAGCAGCCGC